rnacentral:rRNA from 1 species
UACGGAGGGUGCGAGCGUUGUCCGGAAUCACUGGGCGUAAAGGGCGCGUAGGUGGCGACCCAAGUCAACGGUGAAAGCUCGACGCUCAACGUCGAGUCGGCCACGGAUACUGGGUGGCUCGAGCACUGUAGGGGCAGAUGGAAUUCCGGGUGUAGCGGUGGAAUGCGUAGAGAUCCGGAAGAACACCGGUGGCGAAGGCGGUCUGCUGGGCAGUAGCUGACACUGAGGCGCGACAGCGUGGGGAGCAAACAGG